rnacentral:lncRNA from 1 species
GUAAAAAAUGCCCUGCAUUGCAGCAAAGUUCUCCUGCAACAGGGCGAUCAAAUUAAGAUCCUACAUCUGUAAUAAUGUACUAUAUUAUGUGCAUCUUCACAUAAUGGAUAAUUAUGACCUGAAUAAGGGUUGUGUGCCUAUGUGUUGCAUGUAUCUGUAUAUCAUAUUUGUUCUAACAAUGUUUAAUUGAGGGUCGUAAUAAAGUUAUGAAGCCUCUCUCCCUCUUCGGUAUUUACAGUUCCACUGCUGGGUUUUUCCAUACUGACACCAACAAUAAAAGCGGCCUGCAUCCUUAGGGGUGUGUGUGACUUCACAGGGGUGUGUGAUGGAGGGGUGGCCUCUGUAAGCCUCUCUGCCAACCUCAUAUAAACCCAUGCACACCCACACCACACACCCAUCCAAACACACUCUCUCACACACACACUCCGGCCGAGUACAGAACACACACAGAGAUGGACUUUCUGAAAGGAUCUGGGAAGCAGGUGGAUGCAGUGAUCGACAAAGCAGCUGUUGUGGUGAAGGAGAAGGUGGGAGAGAUGAUCGGAGGAGGAGCUAAGGAGGAGAAGAAAGAUGAAGGUAUUGGUGGCAUGGUGUCUGAUAUUGUGGUUGUUCCACCAGGUAUUGGUGGCAUGGUGUCUGAUGUUGUGGUUGUUCCUCCAGGUAUUGGUGGCAAGGUGUCUGAUGUUGUGGUUGUUCCUCCAGGUAUUGGUGGCAUGGUGUCUAAUGCCGUGAAAGGGGCUGCAGCAGAUGCAGCUAUGGACAGUGCUGCAGACAAGGCCAUGUCUUUCGGAAAGAGCCUUUUCAACUGAAUCCCCAAACAUGGACUGAACCAUGUCUCAACCCUGGACUGUACCAUGUCUCAACCCCGGACUGUACCAUGUCUCAACCCCGGACCGUCCUUCCCAUCAACCAAUCCCAUCUUUAUACUAUUACUGAGAUCUGUAUAAUGUUUAUAGGAUGUCAUAAACAUGAAUAAAACACCAAUCUUUCAACACUAGUCUCUGUCUGUCUGCAC